CAGCUGUGUGGCCUACAAACAAUGCAAUCAGACAAAGCACAAAGUACGUGUUUCUUUUGUUUUCCGGUGCUCACACACCGCUAAGAACUGGACAGCACCAGGGCACAGACAGAGAAGGGAGGUAUCCUUGUUGGACUACCCCAGGAAUAAGCCAGUUUGAAACAGGCAUCUUCCUCUCUAAAGCACAAAAUCUGGAGUUCAAUAAUGCAGGUGCAACUGGCAAAAAACAACCCCACCAAAACAGGUGCAAUUUAAAAUUAAGGAUGCAAAAACAAAGUAUCAAGAAGUAUACAGAUUGUGUUAUUCAAAACAUAGGAGAUAAAAGUCUACUUCAAGGAGAAAUCAUCACAUAACUGCAAAAUAUGAAUGCUGCCUGUAUUCCCAGAGUUUAACAAGCAAAAUACAGGAAGAGUUCAAAGAAUCAAAACUGGCAAAGCCAGGGAACUGUGAAGCAGCACUCACAGCCAGUACUGCCCUAUAGUGUUACCCAGCAGAACUGACAUAGCAAAGCUCUCCCCAAAAAGACCUUCAUUUUAAGUAACACUUUGCUUCCUAAAAAUGAAGCUUGGACAUACUGUACCUAAUCAAGUAUGUAUUUCAGACUAGAAGAAAGUAAGAAAUCCUCUGCUCAGUCAUUCUCAGAAUCAUUACCUCUCCCAUGAGCCUUGUCAGCAGCAGGUAUUAGAGACAGUUAUCCAAGAAGGACAUCAAAAAAACCACUUUCUAAUUAGUCCUGUAAAUAACUGCCUUUCCUCAUGUCAACCUUGCACAGCCUAACAGUCAUCUGCAUAACCACCAGCCUUCCCAGACCCAUCACCAAAGGCACAAAGGGGGUAAGAACAAGCGUUAGGACUGGAGCAGCAGCCUGCCUGCAGUUCAGGCUGUGAGGACUCCCAGCAAAGACUCAGAUGUCCCACCUGCCUGGCUGCUGAGGCUCUGCACUGCUCUUUUCUACACAGCAGUUAGGAACAAGGUUUAGCUGAAGGUACCCAGAAGAAAAUUCUGUAUUUCAGGAUGAAACUGCGUAUCUGAUAAAACUCCCAGCGUGAUGUAACUUAUCUUGGCAGUUCUGAAGGAUGACAUUGUUAGAAACUAGAGUGUAUGCUAUGUUUGCUUAAGACGUAUCUGCAACUACGCACCUUGCACAAUAAAGAUACAUUCCACUAAUACUAUCCA
rnacentral:lncRNA from 1 species